rnacentral:lncRNA from 1 species
AACGCAGAGUUGGGAGCAACUCCAGAGCCUCCUUCAAGAUGCUGCUGGUCCUGCUCUCAGUGGUCCUUCUGGCUCUGAGCUCAGCUCAGAGCACAGAUAAUGAAAGACCUGGCUGUGCUGUGAAGGAUGCAGUGGAGAAUGCAAGACUGAUCCAGGGAAGUCCAGCUAUGAAGAUGCUACAGUAAUCUCAGUGGACAGCGAUGAUGGUGUCCUUGCUGUACAGGGGAUGCAGAAUCAAUGAAAGAGAUAAACAAACAUCAGAGUACUGUCAGACAUAGAGGACUGGAUAAUACAUUUGUGUCUUUCUACAUAGUGGUAUAGAAAUAUCAGGUCCCCAAAUUCCCAUUUUUCUUCCAAUCACAUUUAAAAUUUCAAUAUGUUGCAGGCAGCAUGUGUAAGAUUAUAUCCAAAUAUUUACUCCUGGUUGCUCCUCUUGGGCAAGCUUGUGAAUAUGAUCAAAAUAUUUAAAGAAGGAAGAAGGUAAAGAUCUAAAAUAUGACAUGAAAAUACCCAGAGAAGUGUGCCUAAAUUAGCAUUAGGGUUUGAGGGAUCCUAAGGAUGACAAAAAGGGACUCUUCUAUUGAAUUCGUGGUUGAUGCUCAGCGAUAGUAACAAUCCUGCCUCCCCUAACAUCUUCCUCCCCUUCCAGCAGCUUCACAGAACAUGGUUGAUGAGGUAACUUAGGGGAUGCACAGGGUGUGGCCAGAAGACCCCUUUCCCUAUAGACCACUAUGAGCCCUGAAAGAUUUAUGAGGUAAUGUUCACUUCAUCCUGUGCUUCUUUUCCUAGAUGUGAACUAUGAAGACUUUACUUUCACCAUACCAGGUAAAUC